CCCCCAGUAGCGGCGAGCGAACGGGGAGGAGCCCAGAGCCUGAAUCAGUGUGUGUGUUAGUGGAAGCGUCUGGAAAGGCGCGCGAUACAGGGUGACAGCCCCGUACACAAAAAUGCACAUGCUGUGAGCUCGAUGAGUAGGGCGGGACACGUGGUAUCCUGUCUGAAUAUGGGGGGACCAUCCUCCAAGGCUAAAUACUCCUGACUGACCGAUAGUGAACCAGUACCGUGAGGGAAAGGCGAAAAGAACCCCGGCGAGGGGAGUGAAAAAGAACCUGAAACCGUGUACGUACAAGCAGUGGGAGCACGCUUAGGCGUGUGACUGCGUACCUUUUGUAUAAUGGGUCAGCGACUUAUAUUCUGUAGCAAGGUUAACCGAAUAGGGGAGCCGAAGGGAAACCGAGUCUUAACUGGGCGUUAAGUUGCAGGGUAUAGACCCGAAACCCGGUGAUCUAGCCAUGGGCAGGUUGAAGGUUGGGUAACACUAACUGGAGGACCGAACCGACUAAUGUUGAAAAAUUAGCGGAUGACUUGUGGCUGGGGGUGAAAGGCCAAUCAAACCGGGAGAUAGCUGGUUCUCCCCGAAAGCUAUUUAGGUAGCGCCUCGUGAAUUCAUCUCCGGGGGUAGAGCACUGUUUCGGCAAGGGGGUCAUCCCGACUUACCAACCCGAUGCAAACUGCGAAUACCGGAGAAUGUUAUCACGGGAGACACACGGCGGGUGCUAACGUCCGUCGUGAAGAGGGAAACAACCCAGACCGCCAGCUAAGGUCCCAAAGUCAUGGUUAAGUGGGAAACGAUGUGGGAAGGCCCAGACAGCCAGGAUGUUGGCUUAGAAGCAGCCAUCAUUUAAAGAAAGCGUAAUAGCUCACUGGUCGAGUCGGCCUGCGCGGAAGAUGUAACGGGGCUAAACCAUGCACCGAAGCUGCGGCAGCGACGCUGAUGCGUUGUUGGGUAGGGGAGCGUUCUGUAAGCCUGCGAAGGUGUGCUGUGAGGCAUGCUGGAGGUAUCAGAAGUGCGAAUGCUGACAUAAGUAACGAUAAAGCGGGUGAAAAGCCCGCUCGCCGGAAGACCAAGGGUUCCUGUCCAACGUUAAUCGGGGCAGGGUGAGUCGACCCCUAAGGCGAGGCCGAAAGGCGUAGUCGAUGGGAAACAGGUUAAUAUUCCUGUACUUGGUGUUACUGCGAAGGGGGGACGGAGAAGGCUAUGUUGGCCGGGCGACGGUUGUCCCGGUUUAAGCGUGUAGGCUGGUUUUCCAGGCAAAUCCGGAAAAUCAAGGCUGAGGCGUGAUGACGAGGCACUACGGUGCUGAAGCAACAAAUGCCCUGCUUCCAGGAAAAGCCUCUAAGCAUCAGGUAACAUCAAAUCGUACCCCAAACCGACACAGGUGGUCAGGUAGAGAAUACCAAGGCGCUUGAGAGAACUCGGGUGAAGGAACUAGGCAAAAUGGUGCCGUAACUUCGGGAGAAGG
rnacentral:rRNA from 1 species